AAUGAACGCUGGCGGCAGGCCUAACACAUGCAAGUCGAACGAGGCAGCAAUGCCUAGUGGCGGACGGGUGAGUAACGCGUGGGAACAUACCCUUUGGUUCGGAAUAGCCCUUGGAAACGGGGAGUAAUACCGAAUGUGCUCGCAAGAGGAAAGAUUUAUCGCCAAAGGAUUGGCCCGCGUUGGAUUAGGUAGUUGGUGGGGUAAUGGCCUACCAAGCCGACGAUCCAUAGCUGGUUUGAGAGGAUGAUCAGCCACACUGGGACUGAGACACGGCCCAGACUCCUACGGGAGGCAGCAGUGGGGAAUCUUAGACAAUGGGGGAAACCCUGAUCUAGCCAUGCCGCGUGAUCGAUGAAGGCCUUAGGGUUGUAAAGAUCUUUCAGUUGGGAAGAUAAUGACGGUACCAACAGAAGAAGCCCCGGCUAACUCCGUGCCAGCAGCCGCGGUAAUACGGAGGGGGCUAGCGUUAUUCGGAAUUACUGGGCGUAAAGCGCACGUAGGCGGAGCGGAAAGUCAGAGGUGAAAUCCCAGGGCUCAACCUUGGAACUGCCUUUGAAACUCCCGCUCUUGAGGUCGAGAGAGGUAAGUGGAAUUCCGAGUGUAGAGGUGAA
rnacentral:rRNA from 1 species